UACGUAGGGCGCAAGCGUUAUCCGGAAUUACUGGGCGUAAAGCGUGCGUAGGUGGUGAGUUAAGUCUGUCGUGAAAGCCCCGGGCUCAACCUGGGAAUGGCGAUGGAUACUGGCUCGCUAGAGUGCGGUAGAGGAGAGUGGAAUUCCCGGUGUAGCAGUGAAAUGCGUAGAGAUCGGGAGGAACAUCAGUUGCGAAGGCGGCUCUCUGGACCAGCACUGACACUGAGGCACGAAAGCGUGGGGAGCAAACAGG
rnacentral:rRNA from 1 species